GUUGUAAAUUUUUAAAGCGUAUAAACUAUACGACAUCAUAUUCCAAAUAUCUAAGCGACAUCUUUUGAAACAUCAAUACUACGCAAGAAAAAAAUUUAGGCGGAAGAAAAAAAAAUAAUAAUAAUCAGAACAAAUUCAAUAGGUCUUUCCACGGAAAGGUGGAAAGACCUAAUAAUCAGAACAAAACCUAUAGGUCUUUCCACGGAAAGGUGGAAAGACCUAAUUAUGAUC
rnacentral:lncRNA from 1 species